rnacentral:snRNA from 1 species
GUGCUUGCUUCAGCAGCACAUAUACUAAAAUUGGAAUGAUACAGAGAUUAGUAUGGCCCCUGCACAGGAUGACUCUUUGUUAAAGCCUAGAUAACAGAACAUAGCAUAUUUAU